CACACUCAUCUAUACAGUCCACACCAUCACACACACACACACAUCUAUACAGUCCACACCAUCACACACACACAUCCAUACAGUCCACACCAUCACACACACAUCCAUAUAGUCCACACCAUCACAUACCCGUACAGUCCACACCGUCAUACACACACACACAUAUCUGUACAGUCCACACCUUCACACAUCCAUACAGUCCACACCGUCAUACACACACACAUCUAUACAGUCCACACCGUCACACAUCCGUACAGUCCACACCGUCAUACAAACACACAUCUAUACAGUCCACACCGUCACACAUCCGUACAGUCCACACCGUCAUACAAACACACACACAUCUAUACAGUCCACAUCGUCACACAUCCAUACAGUUCACACCAUCAUACACACAUCUAUACAGUCCACACCAUCACAUGCACACACAUCUAUAUGGUCUACACCAUCACACACACACACAUCUAUACAGUCCACACUGUUACAUGCACACAUCUAUACAGUCCACACCGUCACAUAUCUAUACAGUCCACACCGUCAUACACACACACACAUCUAUAUGGUCUACACCGUCACACACACACAUCUAUACAGUCCACACCGUCGUACACACACGCCCACACCCGCAUGCCCACACAUCCAUACAGUCCACAUUCACGUAUGCCCAUAUGCAUCCAUUCACACGUGUGUACACAUGCUCACACACAUUCAUAGACUCCACACAUGCACACGUGCGCACACACGCACAUGCUCGCACACAUGCACAGAUACACUCACGUCCACACACGCUCAAACAUGCGUGCACACCCGGAGGUGCCCAGAGGGGCAGGGUGGGGAGAACCCCUGCAGCCGCCACACCCCCUGCUCUUGUGGGUAGUUGGGGG
rnacentral:lncRNA from 1 species